GCCUACGGGGCAGCAGUAGGGAAUCUUCCACAAUGGGCGAAAGCCUGAUGGAGCAACGCCGCGUGGGUGAAGAAGGUCUUCGGAUCGUAAAACCCUGUUGUUAGAGAAGAAAGUGCGUGAGAGUAACUGUUCACGUCUCGACGGUAUCUAACCAGAAAGCCACGGCUAACUACGUGCCAGCAGCCGCGGUAAUACGUAGGUGGCAAGCGUUAUCCGGAUUUAUUGGGCGUAAAGGGAGCGCAGGCGGUCUUUUAAGUCUGAUGUGAAAGCCUUCGGCUUAACCGGAGUAGUGCAUUGGAAACUGG
rnacentral:rRNA from 1 species